GGGCAGGGACCGAACCCGCAACCUCAUGGUUCCUAGUUGGAUUCGUUAACCACUGCGCCACGACGGGAACUCCACUUCCUUUGCCCUUUUGUUUACUUUCAGAACUCUCUUCAUUCUCUUCUGGCAUGUAUGGUUUCCAUCAAGAAAUGGGUCAUCCUUUUCUUUGUCCCUCUGUAUGUAUUUUUCUUCUCUGGCUCUUAUUAGGAUUCUUUCUCUCUCUUUCUUUUUAUAAAAAUAAAACCUGUCUUGAGAUAUACUUCAAAUACUGUAAUACUUAACCUUCUAAAGGGGUGUAUAAUUUAGUGGCUUAUGGUGUAUUCACAAAGAUGCACAACCGUCACCAUGUUCACAGAGACGCACGACCGUCACCAUGUUCACAGAGACGCACAACCGUCACCAUGUUCACAAAGAUGCACGACCGUCACCACUGAUGGCAGAACGCUGCCGUCAUCUGAAAAGGAAGCUCUGUGCUUAACAACAGGUCCUUCUAAUACCCCCGCCCCCGGCAACCACUAAUCUAACGUCUGUCUCUAUGGAUUUGCCUUCUCUAGACAUAUCAUAUAUAUGGAAUGAUAAAAUAUGUGGGUUUUUUGUGACGGGCUUCUUUUAGUUAAUAUGAUGUUUCCAGGGUUCAUUCAUGUUGUAGUAGUAUUUCGUUUCCUUUUAUUGACAAAUAAUGUUCCAUUGUAUGGAUUUAUCCCAUUUGUUUAUCUGCUUAUCAGCUGAUGAACAUUUAACUUGAAUCCAUUCCUUGGCUUUUGUAGAAUAAUGCUCAUAUAAAAGUUUCUGUGUUGACGUAUGUUUUUAUUUCUCUUAGGUGGAUACCUAGGAGUGGGAUUGCUAGGUCAAUAGGCUAACUUUGUGUUUAACAUUUUCAAAAACUGUCUCCUUUUCAGAACUUUCUAGGCUAUGUUACAUUUCCAUCAGCAUUCCACUUUCUCUACAAGCUUGUCAACACUUUGCCGUGGGCUCUCUUUUAAUUUUUGUUUUCCUGGUAGGGGUGAAGGUGGUAUGUUGUGAGGUUUUUUUUUAAUUUAUUGUUGUUUAUUGUUACCACUACAAACACUGCAACAGUGCGCAUUUGUGUGCAUGCCUCUGUCAUUUGCAGAUUCUCAGUGAAAUCUCAAAUAGUGGUUUUGCUGGGACAUAGAAUCUGUAAAUUUUUUUUCAAUUCAAUUUAACUUUUUUUUUUCUUUUUUGGCCGUGCCCAUGGCAUAUGCAAAUUCCCCCGGGCCAGGGAUCGAAUCUGAGCCUCAGCUGUGACUAUGCCACAGUUGCGGCAAUGCCAGAUCUUUAACCCUCUGUGCCUGGCUGGGGAUUGAACUUGUACCACCGCAAAGACAAUACCGAAUCCUUAGCCACAGCAGGAACUCCUAAUUUAAUUUUUACUUCUAUUGGAGUAUAGUUGAUUUAUAACGUUGUGUUUGUUUCCUCUGUACAGCAAAGUGAUUCAGUUAUGCAUAUAUCCAUUCUUAUUGAUUCCUUUCCCAUAUAAGUUAUUUCCAGUGAGUAGCAUUCCCUGUGCCAUACAGUAGGCCCUUUUUAUUUAUCUGUUUUAUGUGUAGUAUGUAUAUGUUAAUCCCAAACUCCUAAUUUAUCCCUCCCCUCCCUUCCCCUUAUGGUAACCAUGGUUUUCUGUCUGAGAGUCUUUUUCUGUUUUGUAAGUAAGUUCAUUUAUAUCAUUUUGUUAGAUUCCACAUAUAAGUGAUAUCAUAUGAUAGUUGUCUUUCUCUCUGUGACUUACUUCACUUAGUAUGAUGGCAUCAAGGUAUUGCUGCAAAUGGCAUUAUUUCUCUUUUUAUGGCUAGUAUUCCACUUGUGUGUGUGUGUAUAACAUCUUUAUCCAUUCAUCUAUCAAUGGAUAUUUAGGUUGCUUCCAUGUUUUGGCUAUUGUAAAUAGUGUAGCUGUGAAUAUUGGGGUGCAUGUGUCUCUUUGACUUAGACUUUUUGUCUUUUCUGAAUAUAUGCCCAGGAGUGGGGUUUUGCUGGAUCCUAUGGUAACUCUGUUUUAAGUAUUUCAAGGAACCUCCAUGCUGUUUUCCAUAGUGGCUGCAGGUGGUGGCAUUUCUUGAGGUGGAGAAGAUUGGAGGAGGAGCAGAUUUGGAGGGAAGCUAUGUCAGGAAUAUAGGUAGGAGAAGGCCGAGGUUGAGAUCAAGAGUAUAGAUUUGUGAAGUAUGAUGCGUUUGUGAGGCCUCUAAGUGGGGACAUCAAGCAGGCAGUUGAAUAUAAGGAUUUCGAGUUUAGAAAAAUGUCUUAAAACUAUAAAUGUAAAUAGCUCUGGGGGGAAAGUCAGUGUAUAACCUGGGGCUUCAGUUUAAAACAUAGAGUUCAGAGCACAGUUGAAUAAAACAUCCCAGCACAGGUGUGUACUUCAUGAUCAGAAAACUUCCAGUCUUGUAGUUUAACCUUGGCUUUACUCUGGUUUAACAAUAAAUCAAUCUAACUUUUCUUCUUACUUGUAAGGAUGAAAAGCUAAGGAAAACUACUACUCUUAGUUGUUCUUCUACAGCUGGGUCCCACUAGAGGCUGUUUCUGUUCUGCUGCCCUAGCUCAGGUUUUGCUUGCUUCUCUGCAUCUUUCAGCAUCCUGCUCUUUUGCUCGUUUCCAAUUUAAACCAAAAAGAAAGGAAAUGAUUUUGCUUACGUAUGCACUGUUUUCCUAGGAUUACCCUCUCUGCCACUUUUUCCAGUCUAGAUGGAAAUUCUCUCUUGAAUUCUUCUCUGCUGCUUCCUGUCCUUUGAAGGCUGGAACUGUAAUAAAAGCUAAUUGGCAUCAGACACAAAAGAUUAUUCAUUAACUUUUCUCUAAGACCUACAGCUCCUUCCAAGCCUGAUUCUAAUUUUUUUAAAGGACCCAUCACUUUCUUUUUUUCUGAACAGACAUUUUAGAAUAUAUUUGAACAGAGCAUGCACAAUUUUUAAACAAUUGCUUUAUAUGCCAUAUUUAGUUUGAAAGUUAUUUUGCCAUAGAAACAAUGUUAUAAAUGGUUUGGUUUCCCCAGCUAACUCCAAAGCCUUUUAAACUUGUGUCAUAGCAGUAUUUUCAGUUAUAAUUGAUAACAGCUAUACCCUUGUUUCUUGGACACGGUGACAGAUUUCCAGCAAGCUGUUGUAGUACUUCAUCGCGGCAAUGACUAUACCUACAGGGCCCCCAAAAUUUAACUUUGUGCACUAGCAGGAUAGAAUCAUAGGCUGUAUGAGCUAGAAGGGAUUUUAGAGAUAACACAGUUCAAACUACUUAUUUUAUGAGGAAGAAAACUGAGAGCUAGGAACCUAAG
rnacentral:lncRNA from 1 species